rnacentral:lncRNA from 10 species
GUGAGCUCCUGGAAGAGCCCAGGUGAGACCUGGGUCAUCUGAUACCCAGAUCAGGGCACUGCUUUCUGAAGCUGCUGAUUCUGCCUGUUCUCCAUGGCCAUUCAGCUGGAUGGCUCCUCACUGACCUGGACUUUGAAACAUCAGUACGGUGACAGGCAUUUGCAGAAGCAGGAACCCAAACUGCUGUCUCUAAGGAGAGCCUCUGUGCUUGUCCUAGGGAAGUGUUUUGAUUCCCAAGGGCUUUGAGCUGCACUGUAGGCGGCCACAGAGCAGGUACAUUUCUCCUUUUCCAUGCUGCACUGCACCCUGGAAUUGGCCUGUAUGCGCUGCAUCGAGAUGCUCUUGCCCUCUGACUGCCAGCUGGGUUUGGUCCAUGUGGAGCCUGGAAUCAAAACCAGAGGGAGAAGGCCAUCAGGGUACCAGAUGUCUAAAUGAUCUCCACUCCAAAGCAACAGCCAA